UACAGAGGUCUCAAGCGUUGUUCGGAUCAUUGGGCGUAAAGGGUGCGUAGGCGGCGCGGUAAGUCGGGUGUGAAAUCUCGGAGCUUAACUCCGAAACUGCAUUCGAUACUGCCGUGCUUGAGGACUGGAGAGGAGACUGGAAUUUACGGUGUAGCGGUGAAAUGCGUAGAUAUCGUAAGGAAGACCAGUGGCGAAGGCGGGUCUCUGGACAGUUCCUGACGCUGAGGCACGAAGGUCAGGGGAGCAAACGGG
rnacentral:rRNA from 1 species